rnacentral:misc_RNA from 1 species
UCCCUGUCAGCUUGAACUGUAUCCUGAAGAAAAGAUGCAUUUUUGCAUGCAUAAGUAACAUGAAUAUCCCAAGCAGACAAGUCAAGUUAAUGCGGUCGACCAAUUGGCUAUUUGAUCAAAUAUAAAUGAAAUUUAUAGAACAAAACAAUUUCUCUGGAGCUUAUGAAUGGAUUGCACGGACUAAAAGAGAGUAAAUAACCACAAAAAUGAAAUAGUAUCAUAACAGGUAUGACUAAAUCCAUCCUGCGUCCACUGCUAUUGAAAACGCAAACCAAUCCUCUACGCUUAUAAGCACAAAAAACAUCAUGCCCAAUAUCAGCUGGUGAUACAGUAUUCAAGUACCAAAUUAACACAUAUUAGACAGGCUUCCAUGAAAUGAAUGCAGUUAAAUGUUAAAGAAGGGGUUUCAGAUUUAAACUUCCUAUCAAAAACCAAAAGAAAAAAAAAAGGAAAAAAAGG